GCUUGUCUCAAAGAUUAAGCCAUGCAUGUCUAAGUAUAAACGACUUUAUACUGUGAAACUGCGAAUGGCUCAUUAUAUCAGUUAUAGUUUAUUUGAUGGUCCUUGCUACUUGGAUAACCGUAGUAAUUCUAGAGCUAAUACAUGCAUCAAACCCCGACUUCUGGAAGGGGUGUAUUUAUUAGAUGGAAACCAAUGCAGGGCAACCUGGAAUAUGGUGAUUCAUAAUAACUCGCGGAUCGGUUUACCGAUGCAUCAUUCAAGUUUCUGCCCUAUCAACUUUCGACGGUAGGAUAGAGGCCUACUGUGGUGAUAACGGGUAACGAAGAAUAAGGGUUCGAUUUCGGAGAGGGAGCCUGAGAAACGGCUACCACAUCCAAGGAAGGCAGCAGG
rnacentral:rRNA from 1 species